rnacentral:rRNA from 1 species
AAUUCGAGGCAACGCGAAGAACCUUACCUGGACUUGACAUAUAAUUGACAGCUCUUGAAAGAGAGUUUUUCUUCGGAACAGUUAUACAGGUGCUGCAUGGCUGUCGUCAGCUCGUGCUGUGAAGUGUUCGGUUAAGCCCGGCAACGAGCGCAACCCACGUCGUUAGUUACCAUCAAGUAAUGUUGGGGACUCUAACGAGACUGCCUGUGUUAAGCAGGAGGAAGGCGUGGAUGACGUCAAGUCAGUAUGGCCCUUAUGUCCAGGGCUGCACACGUGCUACAAUGGCUACUACAGAGGGAAGCAAAGCUGCGAAGUGGAGCAAAUCCGUAAAAGUAGUCUAAGUUCGGAUUGGAGUCUGCGACUCGACUCCAUGAAGUCGGAAUCGCUAGUAAAGGCGUAUCAGCUACGACGCCUUGAAUACGUUCCCGGGUCUUGUACACACCGCCCGUCACAUCAUGGAAGUUGAUUGCACCCGAAGUCGUUGACCUAACUCAAUUUGAGAAGGAGGCGCCUAAGGUGUGGUUAGUAACUGGGAUG